rnacentral:lncRNA from 1 species
AAUCGUAGUGUUUUAUUUGGAAUUAAAUGAGAAAUAUUAUGGGGUAAAUUUCAAAUACCAUCCCUAUGGUUUCGUAUAUUUUUACUUUAGUACCAUGUGGUUUAAAAUAUAUUAAGUUAGUGUCAUAUGGUUUUAUUUUUAUCUUUUCAUCAGUUUUUUCGUUAAUAUUUCGUUAAAUUAUAUAAAAAAACUUCAGAUACCACAUCUAAAUUUAUCAAAUAUUUAUUUUAAUAUUCUUUAGUUUUAACUUUAUAAUUGAUUUAACAAAAAAAUUAAAAAAAUCAAUAAUAAAAAAAUAAAAAUAAAAUCACAAAAUAUUACAUUAAUAUAUUUUAAAUUAUAAAAUAUUAAAAUAAAAAAAUGUGCAAUUAU